rnacentral:SRP_RNA from 1 species
UAGUAGGGAGGGCCGGGGUGCUAGCCGUACCCCAUACCCGAAACCGGCUUUAUGCGGGGGCCAGUAACCGCUGGGUAAAUCCAGAGGUUGUAUGUACCUACCUGCUCCACGGAGAUGAAUCUACGCCGUCAUGGGUGGGUGCAGGCAAGGAGUCAUCCGAAGGGAUGACUUUAUAGCCGAACCGCCGAAAUGGGUGAGGUCCGGGAGGGAGCAACCCUAAGGCGGGGCAUCCACGCUAUGACGAUCACGUGGAGGAUCUUGUGGAGCAGGAGAUGGGGCAUACAACCUCUGGUGGAACCAGCGGGGCUACUA